CAUGACUACAUAACUACUUUCUCUGUCGCAAUUUAUGUGACACAUUUCGUUUUUUGAGAGUCAAAUCGUUUAAAUUUGACCAGGAAUUUGCGCAUGAAUUCACUUGGGCAAAACUUCUUGUAUUUAUAAAUUGAUGGAAGGAAUUAUCUUCAUUAUAGUCAUAACAAGCUACAACAAUAACAAAACUUAGAACAUAAUUACCAUUAACACAUGUUACAAACACUCAUAGUUCCUAAUUACAAAAUGUUCGAUAACAUUCUUC
rnacentral:lncRNA from 1 species